CGAUGGGCACUAGGUCCUUGGGGGGAGCGACCCYGUGAGGUCCCGGCGWUAACGCAUUAAGUGCCCCGCSUGGGGAGUACGSCSGCAAGGSWGAAACUCAAMAGGAAUUGACGGGGGCCCGCACAAGCGGUGGAGCAUGUGGUUUAAUUCGACGCAACGCGAAGWACCUUACSUAGGSUUSACAUGGCCGGGAAAGCCGGGGGAAACCUCGGCCCCUCKUCGGAGUCCGGUCACAGGUGCUGCAUAGCUGUYGUCAGCUCGUGUCGUGAGAUGUUGGGUUAAGUCCSGCAACGAGCGCAACCCUUGUCACUAGUUACCAGCGGGUUAUGCCGGGCACUCUAGUGAGACURCCGGUGCCAAACCGGAGGAAGGUGGGGAYGASGUCAAGUCAUCAUGGUCCUUACGUCUAGGGCUACACACGUGCUACAAUGGGYGGGACAACGGGUCGCGAAGCCGCAAGGUGGAGCCAAUCCCCCAAACCCGUCMUCAGUUCGGAUUGUCGUCUGCAACUCGACGGCAUGAAGCUGGAAUCGMUAGUAAUCGCGGAUCAGMUACGCCGCGGUGAAUACGUUCCCGGGCCUUGUACACACCGCCCGUCACGCCAUGGAAGCGGCGAGUGCCCGAAGUCCGUGCCGGAACCCUCACGGGACCAAGCGGCCGAAGGCAAGCGUCGUGACUGGGGCG
rnacentral:rRNA from 1 species